AAAAAAUAUAUAUUUUUCGCUGAGAUUUGAGUAAUAUCGUUGUAUAUUCUACGUAAGAACGCUGUUUUGUGUAAUGGUUAUGCAAUGACAUCACAACAUCCUUCAGCAUUUUUUAGCAACAAAUCGAUCUGCCUUUAGGAACUUACCCUGAAAAUUAGUUGGCAACACCGCUUUGAAGGCAGUGCUACGGAAUCCCAGCAGUUGGGAGGGUUUAGUCGAGCGUUUUCUCCUCCCCUCCGUGUGUCUCCGCUCUUUCAGUCAUUCAUUGCGUCUCCGCAGGACUCGCAGUUUGGACGAUGUCUGUGUGCAGAGCAGCCUGGCAGAGGUGUGGGCCUCUCGCGCGACAGUCCCUGUACCGCGCACACCUCAAUAGAGAUGUAGUUCCACGGAGGCUCAUGUCGUUGGUUCCUGGCGGCUCUGGUGAGAAUUUCUUUUACGUCGUCCUCUGCGGUGGAGCCUUCGCAGGUGCCUUGGCAUAUGCUUAUAAAACAGUUUCAACAGACCACGCACGUUUUGUUGAUCGUGUUUCUGAAAUUGAUGCUCGUCCCAAGUCUGACUGGAAACCCAAAGCAUGGCCACCCAAGGGUGGGGAGAAUGGCAAUGAAUAAACUUAUUCGGACAGUUGGGGCUGGUGACCUAUAGUCUUCAUUCAGAACUUUUUGGAUGAUUCUCUCCUGAGCUAAUGUCCUUAUGAUUCCUGCUUUUUCCAUUGAACUGAUAUUUUUCAUUCCAUUGACUUUCAAACACUCAUUUCAAAUGUUAAUUGUGGUGUAAUACAGUAGAAAUUGAAAGACAUGUAAAAGAAUACUUCCCUCUGUGAGUAAACUAAUUAAACACGCACAACAAAGCCCCUUUGGUUGUUAUUUAGUUUUGCUGGAAUUCACAGGGUUGCUGGUACUGCUAACUUUGAACAGAUGGUAAGGCUCAACCAUCUUUGUAUUCCCUCUCCUCACCUGUCCUCCCAGCCCCUUUCUCCCUGUAGUUUCUGUUCAGUUUCUCUUUUCACCCUCCCUCCUCAUUCUUGGGUUUUGCAUGCUGCCUGCAGUGAUCGGGUCAUGUUUGAUUUUGACAAAGCUAGGUUUCCAGGAGGUUUGAUAAGAUGGAUGUUGUGUGUGAGAGGAUUUGAAAGGCUUGGUGGCGAGUGUAAAUGCUUUAAAUAUGGAUGUUCUUAGCUGCACUUAUGUUCUUAGGUAGCUAGCAUAAAUUAAAUUCAGUUAAAUUAAUCCUAUUAUAAUAUACCUAUAAACUAAAUAAAUUGUCAAUACUCUUUAUAUAAUAAAAAUAAUUAUUUGAGUAAUAAUUAUAGUUUUCUUACAUUACAAAAAAAUUAUUAUAAAUAUAGUUCAUUAUAUUGUUAUAUAUUUCUUAGGUAAAUAAUUGCAGUUGGUACAGUUCUCAAAAAAGAUUCAUUUAUGAAUAUUAGGAAAGUAAUAUUAUAGAUAUUGGUGAUUAUAGUACCACCUUACAAAAACUGUCAAGGUAUCAUUACACUCCUGAAUCAAAAGUUAUAUUUUGCAAGAUCUAUAAUAUUACAUCUCUAUAUUCAUAAAUAAAAAAUCUGUUAUUUUAUUUCAAUGCAAUGUAAUAUGUAAUAAAUUGUAAUAAUUAUUUUUAUUAUAUAAAUAAUAAAUUAUGAGAAAAAUUCUCUGAUUCUCUAAUUUAUAAAAACAUCAUGGUAAUAAUUAAUUAGUAGUAGUUAAUUUAUGACAAGAUGAUUUGAAUUACUGCCACGUGGUGAUUUUUAUUUUUAUUAUAAUUAUUAAAUAAUUAUAAAAAUAAAUACAUUAUUAUAUUAUUAUAUUUUUUACAUUUUGAUUGCAAAAUAUGCAGUUUUUCUUUUUUUAAAUCGUAUAGUCCUAAAAUGGGUUUCAUUUUAAAAUAUAAUUUCUUAUCAUUUCAACCCAGUCAUUUUUAUGUGAGAUUCAAAAGUAAGUAUGAGUGUGCCAAAAAUGAAAACGUAGCUUGAUGCCUUAUUUUUCUUUCUUCUCUGUUGUCUGUUUAGAAGAAGCUGGUGCAGAGGAAGGUGAGGUGGCAGAAACUGUAGAGAGCGCAGCCGAGGAGGAUGUUCCUGCUGAGGCACCUGAGGUCUUGCUGGAAACAGCCGAGGCCACUAGAGGGAAGACAGGAACUCUUGAGACCGUUGUGGAAAAGGUUGCCGAGACAGUUGCAGAGACUGCAGAGGUGGUCGCUGAGGUGGCGGGGGUUGUUCAUGAAACAGCAGAGGAAGUGGCAGCGGUGGCACAGGAAGUGCAGAAGGUAGCAGAGGAAGUAGAAGCAGCAGCAAAGGCUGUUGAAACUCCUGUUAUCCAAGCUGAAGAGCCAGCGUCAGAGAGCAACGAAUCAGUCAGCCCAGCAGAAGCAGAACCAGCAAAGCUGGCUGCUGCCUCUGUGAUCGAGGCUGUUCCUAAGGAGUCUGUAUCCAUGGAAGAUGUGCCAGUUGAAGCUGUACCAGAGAAGCCCACUGAGGUUCCUACAACAGAUCAUUUGGAAAGUGAACCUGUAAGAGAAUUGGUAUCCGUUUCUCCAGUUGUAGAAGAGCCACCUGUUGCCACAGUGGUAGAAGAGGCUCCAGUAGUAGAGCCAUUUGAUUCACCAGUAUCCACAGAAGAAGCAUCUGAUGUCCUGGUGAUAGAACAGGAAAUAUUGGUUGUCCCAGUGACAGAAGAGACACCAGUUUCCUCUGUAACAGAAGAGGGAGCAGUUUCCUUGGUUACCGAAGAAGCUCCUGUUGCUGUGGCUGAAGAUGCACCUGUUGUAGCAACCGAAGAACUUGAGGAAACACCUGCAACCAAAGUAACAGAAGAGGUUAUUCCAGUGGUUGAGGAAGGUGUGGAAGUGAAGGCAGCAGAGGCUAUUGUUACAGAGGCUUCGGUAAGUAUAGUCGAUGAAGAAGCAGCAAGUCCAUUUGUGGAAGUUACAGAAAGUGUUGUUGAACCAGAUGUUGCAAGCACAGUGGUAGCUGAGAAAGUUGCUCUAGCUGAAACAUCAAGUGAGCCUGAUUCUUUGGAAGAGCCCAAACGAGACUACAUAGUGGUUAUCUUGGAGGGAGCUCCCAAAACAGAAAAGAAGCCCAUGGUGCUCGGUGUGUCCCCCAUGAUUGGCAAGAUCAUCUCAGCCCCUGAUGAUGGUGAAGAGCCAUCGGGACAGGUAACAGGGCAAGCGCCGUAUGCUUAACGUGCAGAUGCAUUAGCGCCAACUAAAAAAGUUGGGAGCAGUCAGACGUUCUGGGAUAGUAAACUGGUUCCCUGAUAAAGAAUUAGUGAUGUGCCUCGCCCUUUUCUUACUUACCUGACCCCCUGGAUUUCAGUAAUCCUUACACUGGGCCCAGAAGGCUGUUUCCUUCCGACUCUUUCCACUUACAUGCUGUCCACUGGAGAGUGGUUACUUCAUGUGAACUUUCACUUCACUUUGAUGUGAGACAUACAAGUUUGUGACCUAUCUUUAUACCCUUUUUAAAUGGAACUCCAUUCUUUUUGAGUCAACUGCACAUUGGAGCCUAUACUAUAGUGAACCCUACCUCAAACAUCACAUUUUUAGGACAUGUCUUGGAAACGCCAUGUCAAUAGUUACAAUACCAGCAGGGCUAAACAUUUGCCACAAACACUGUCAUAUCUGCAUGCUGACCACCAAUUUUUUGGUUAGACUUCAGGUUCUCCUCUAUCUUCAAUAUAUGCUAUUUUUCAUUUGCAUUAUUUAUGAAUUAACACCAUUUUUAUAUUUGUACCUCUCUACCUCAGCUUGAAAAGACAGUGUUCUCCUUUAACCAGUAACCAGUAUUAUAGUAACCAACUAACAUUACCAAUGUGACAUGAAUAGGUCAAAAAAACAACUGACAAACAGAUAACCUGUAUCAAUAUUAUCAAUACAACAAUAAGCCAUGUUACAAGUCACAUUCCAGUAUUAAUUUUAAAGGCUGACAUUACAAUAUUAUCCAAAAGGUAAACCCCACUGCUGCAUCCUUUGCCUUUGUUUUCUUGUUCUCUCUUAGUUUGUCACCAUCACCAAACCUAUUAUGAAAAUGUUACACUUACUUUGAUACUAGUUUUGAUGCUCAUUUGAUUUGAGAUUUUGGAAUGGUAGACAGAUAUACUAUAUCGAGCCAGAAGGAAAAUUAAUGUCAGAUUAAAAAAAAAAAAACAUACCUAACAAUUUUGUUUCUUAUCUCCUUCAUGUUUCAAAAGGGACCUUAUAAGUGUUAUAGGUAAGAUACAACUUUAUAAUGUGAAUGUGAGGGAAUAAUGUGAAGUAUGGUUUAGUAUAAAGGGUGUGUUCAUGGGUUCUUUUUGAUUUUGUUUUCAGGGUUAGGAAUUUAAUACACAUGCAUGUGCUCUUUUGAAGUUUCACCUUUCACCGUAGGCCCUAACUAGCGUUUUAUUUUAUUUUUUUAACUAUGAAUGUAUGUAAAAGAAAAAUAAAGAGUUGAAAAACAUUUCUGUGUGAUCAGGGGCAGAUUUAGUGAAUUGGGGCCCCCAGGCAAAAUCUACACAUGUACACAUUUACCUAUACCUUGAGGUUCCUUUUUUGUUGUGAUGCUUGCUGGUGCACAAUGGUGCCCCAUAGUUGUAUCCAGUGUUUCUACAUUUUUCCUGAGCAUGUUAUGAUGGGCUUUCUUUCAUGAAAUAGCAAUUGAUUUACAGUUGAGAUAAACCUCAUAACUGAGCCUUUAAACCAUUUUAUUGAGAAAAAAGGGAUGAGUCAGAAGUAUAGAUUAUUAUAUCAGUUUAAAACGGGGUUAUGUGGUGGAUUGGUCUGAACAGAAACUGCAGACCGG
ensembl:lncRNA